GAUUUCCACGUCGGCAGAGAAGGGCGACUGCAGGGACUUGAUCUAAUGUGCAAGUGCUGUCCAGAUGUGGACCGCGCAGCCACAACCAAAUUUUCUAUAGGUGAAAUGAGGUCAUAUAAAUAAUUUGAUGCUUGAAGUACAAGUAACGAGAAGUUCAUAUCAAGCAGCACAGGCACAGAAGACAGGAUCAUCGGGAGAUGCUGCUUACCAGAGUGAAGGGUUUCGCAGCCUUUGACACAGUUGCACAAUUGUGGAGCAGCACCCCCGCCGACCCCCCGGACCGGUCCAGUCCCCGUGACCCUCACCGCACCUAAGGGCCAAGUCACAGGGGUACAAAGUUCACAAAGUUCAGAGUUCAUCCUGUGAAUUGGCCACUAUACGCCUGUCGCCCUUUCUUUGUUCAUCUCACUAAACAUGUGAAACGAGACAAAUUAAUAAAGGUGAAAAAGCGUGCUGUCA
rnacentral:lncRNA from 1 species